AGUGAACGCUGGCGGUAGGCCUAACACAUGCAAGUCGAACGGCAGCACAGUAAGAGCUUGCUCUUACGGGUGGCGAGUGGCGGACGGGUGAGGAAUACAUCGGCAUCUACUUUUUCGUGGGGGAUAACGUAGGGAAACUUACGCUAAUACCGCAUACGACCUACGGGUGAAAGCAGGGGAUCUUCGGACCUUGCGCGAUUGAAUGAGCCGAUGUCGGAUUAGCUAGUUGGCGGGGUAAAGGCCCACCAAGGCGACGAUCCGUAGCUGGUCUGAGAGGAUGAUCAGCCACACUGGAACUGAGACACGGUCCAGACUCCUACGGGAGGGAGCAGUGGGGAAUAUUGGACAAUGGGCGCAAGCCUGAUCCAGCCAUACCGCGUGGGUGAAGAAGGCCUUCGGGUUUUAAAGCCCUUUUGUUGGGAAAGAAAAGCAGCAGGUUAAUACCCCGCUGUUCUGACGGUACCCAAAGAAUAAGCACCGGCUAACUUCGUG
rnacentral:rRNA from 1 species